rnacentral:rRNA from 1 species
AUUGAACGCUGGCGGCAUGCUUUACACAUGCAAGUCGAACGGUAACAGGCCGCAAGGUGCUGACGAGUGGCGAACGGGUGAGUAAUGCAUCGGAACGUGCCCAGUCGUGGGGGAUAACGCAGCGAAAGCUGUGCUAAUACCGCAUACGAUCUAUGGAUGAAAGCGGGGGACCGUAAGGCCUCGCGCGAUUGUAGCGGCCGAUGUCAGAUUAGCUAGUUGGUGGGGUAAAGGCCCACCAAGGCGACGAUCUGUAGCUGGUCUGGGAGGACGACCAGCCACACUGGGACUGAGACACGGCCCAGACUCCUACGGGAGGCAGCAGUGGGGAAUUUUGGACAAUGGGCGCAAGCCUGAUCCAGCAAUGCCGCGUGCAGGAAGAAGGCCUUCGGGUUGUAAACUGCUUUUGUACGGAACGAAACGGCCUGGGUUAAUACCCUGGGCUAAUGACGGUACCGUAAGAAUAAGCACCGGCUAACUACGUGCCAGCAGCCGCCGUAA